GCUUAUAUACACUGUCAGGACGACCUGCUCUUCAAAGCACCGAAAACUGUUUACAUUUCGAGAGAGAAGGAGAGGCAAAGCGGGCAGAGGAACAUUUGAAAAAGGAAGAUGGUCCGGUGGUUCCACAGAGAUCUGUCUGGAAUAGACGCAGAGUCCGUUUUGAAGACCCGAGGUGUCCAUGGCAGCUUCCUGGCCCGACCCAGCAAAAAGAAUGUGGGCGAUUUCUCCCUGUC